GCCUGCAGCCAGACCGACUCCAACUGCGAUCUCAUCUGAGCUCACACGCUAAGCAGGGUCAGGGCCCAUCCGUCCUUGGCUGGGAGGCUUCCAAGAAACAGCUAAGUGCUGCAGGAA
rnacentral:rRNA from 1 species